rnacentral:rRNA from 1 species
UUUCAGGUGGACUCAAGACUGCAAUCGCGUGUCGCCCUUAGAGUUUGAUCCUGGCUCAGGAUGAACGCUGGCGGCGUGCCUAAUACAUGCAAGUCGAACGCGACCUUUCAGCAAUGGGAGGGAGAGUGGCGGACGGGUGAGUAACACAUGGCUGACCUGCCCUUCAGAGGGGGACAACAGCUGGAAACGGCUGCUAAUACCCCAUACGCUCGUUGGGAUUAGAGGCCCGAUGAGGAAAGCCGCAAGGUGCUGAGGGAGGGGGCUGUGGCCCAUCAGCUAGUUGGUAGGGUAACGGCCUACCAAGGCGAGGACGGGUAGGGGACCUGAGAGGGUGACCCCCCACACGGGCACUGAGAUACGGGCCCGACUCCUACGGGAGGCAGCAGUAAGGGAUAUUGCGACAAUGGGCGAAAGCCUGACGCAGCAACGCCGCGUGCGGGAUGACGGCCUUCGGGUUGUAAACCGCUUUUCAGGGUGAAGAGGAAGGACGGUAACCCUGGAAGAAGUCUCGGCUAACUACGUGCCAGCAGCCGCGGUAAAACGUAGGAGGCGAGCGUUAUCCGGAUUUACUGGGUGUAAAGCGCGAGCAGGCGGCUCGGUAAGUUGUGCGUGAAAGCGCCCAGGCUCAACCGGGCGAGGACGUGCAAAACUGCAGAGCUUGAGAUAGGUAGAGGCAGAUGGAAUUCCGGGUGUAGUGGUGAAAUGCGUAGAGAUCCGGAGGAACACCAGUGGCGAAGGCGGUCUGCUGGGCCUAUUCUGACGCUCAGACGCGAAAGCAUGGGGAGCGAACGGGAUUAGAAACCCCGGUAGUCCAUGCUGUAAACGAUGUGAACUAGGUGUUGCGCCGUCAAGGGGCAGUGCCGCAGCUAACGUGAUAAGUUCACCACCUGGGGACUACGGCCGCAAGGUUAAAACUCAAAGGAAUUGACGGGGGCCCGCACAAGCAGCGGAGCGUGUGGUUUAAUUCGAGGCUACACGAAGAACCUUACCUGGGCUUGACAUGGCGGUGGUAGGGAACCGAAAGGGGACCGACCUUCGGGAGCCGUCACAGGUGCUGCAUGGCUGUCGUCAGCUCGCGUCGUGAGAUGUUCGGUUAAGUCCGGUAACGAGCGCAACCCUUGCCGUUAGUUACAAGUGUCUAACGGGACUGCCCGUUGAACGCGGGAGGAAGGUGGGGAUGACGUCAAGUCAGCAUGGCCUUUAUGUCCAGGGCUACACACACGCUACAAUGGCCGGUACAAUGGGUUGCCAACCUGCAAAGGGGAGCCAAUCCAGGAAAGCCGGUCUCAGUUCGGAUUGCAGGUUGCAACCCGCCUGCAUGAAGUCGGAGUUGCUAGUAAACGCGCAUCAGCUAUGGCGCGUUGAAUACGUUCCCGGGCCUUGUACACACCGCCCGUCACGUCAUGGGAGCUGGUCAUGCCUGAAGCCGGUGGGCUAACCUCACGGAGGCAGCCGUCAAAGGCAGGGCUGGUGACUGGGACGAAGUCGUAACAAGGUAACCAAGGGCGACACGCGAUUGCAGUGUAACACGAGUGAUCCUGAGUCAGAUCAACUGCCCCCGUC